UGGGGAAUCUUGGACAAUGGGGGCAACCCUGAUCCAGCAAUGCCGCGUGUGGGAUGAAGGCCUUCGGGUUGUAAACCACUUUUGGCGGGGGCGAAAUAUCGAGUGCUAAUACCAUUCGGUGAUGACGGUACCCGCAGAAUAAGCACCGGCUAACUACGUGCCAGCAGCCGCGGUAAUACGUAGGGUGCAAGCGUUAAUCGGAAUUACUGGGCGUAAAGCGUGCGCAGGCGGUUAGGUAAGACAGGUGUGAAAUUCCCGGGCUCAACCUGGGAACUGCAUUUGUGACUGCCUGACUAGAGUGCGGCAGAGGGGAGUGGAAUUCCGCGUGUAGCAGUGAAAUGCGUAGAUAUGCGGAGGAACACCGAUGGCGAAGGCAACUCCCUGGGCCUGCACUGACGCUCAUGCACGAAAAGCGUGGGGAGCAAAACAGGAUUAGAUACCCUGGUAGUCCACGCCCUAAAACGAUGUCGACUAGUUGUUGGACGGGUUACUGUUCAGUAACGAAGCUAACGCGUGAAGUCGACCGCCUGGGGAGUACGGCCGC
rnacentral:rRNA from 1 species